rnacentral:rRNA from 1 species
UACGUAGGGUGCAAGCGUUGUCCGGAAUUAUUGGGCGUAAAGAGCUCGUAGGCGGUUUGUGCGUCUGCUGUGAAAACUCGGGGCUUAACCCCGGGCCUGCAGUGGGUACGGGCAGACUAGAGUGCGGUAGGGGAGACUGGAAUUCCUGGUGUAGCGGUGAAAUGCGCAGAUAUCAGGAGGAACACCGGUGGCGAAGGCGGGUCUCUGGGCAACAACUGACGCUGAGGAGCGAAAGCGUGGGGAGCGAACAGG